GGAGCUCAGGCGGUUAGAGCGUGCAGUGCUGAUAACGCCAAGGUUGCAGGUUUGAUCCCCACAUGGGGCA